CCUACGGGAGGCAGCAGUGAGGAAUAUUGGUCAAUGGCCGGAAGCCUGAACCAGCCAAGUAGCGUGCGGGAUGAAGGCCCUACGGGUCGUAAACCGCUUUUGCACGGGGAUAACACCCUCCACUUGUGGAUGUCUGCAGGUACCGUACGAAUAAGGGCCGGCUAAUUCCGUGCCAGCAGCCGCGGUAAUACGGAAGACCCGAGCGUUAUCCGGAUUUAUUGGGCUUAAAGGGAGCGUAGGCGGGCGUUCAAGUCAGCUGUAAAAUCGCGGGGCUCAACCGCGCCCCGCAGUUGAAACUGGAAGACUUGAGUUCACAAGAGGUAGGCGGAAUGCGUGGUGUAGCGGUGAAAUGCAUAGAUAUCACGAAGAACCCCGAUUGCGAAGGCAGCCUGCCGGGGUGCGACUGACGCUGAGGCUCGAAGGUGCGGGUAUCAAACAGGAUUAGAUACCCUGGUAGUC
rnacentral:rRNA from 1 species